rnacentral:rRNA from 1 species
UACGUAGGGGCUAGCGUUGUCCGGAUUUAUUGGGCGUAAAGAGCGUGUAGGCGGCCAUGUAGGUCCGGUGUGAAAACUCGAGGCUUAACCUCGAGAUGUCAUCGGAAACCAUUUGGCUAGAGUCCGGAAGAGGAGAGUGGAAUUCCUGGUGUAGCGGUGAAAUGCGCAGAUAUCAGGAAGAACACCAAUGGCGAAAGCAGCUCUCUGGGACGGUACUGACGCUGAGACGCGAAAGCGUGGGGAGCGAACAGG